UACGGAGGGGGCUAGCGUUGUUCGGAUUUACUGGGCGUAAAGGGCGCGUAGGCGGCCACCGCAAGUCGACUGUGAAAUCUCCGGGCUUAACUCGGAAAGGUCAGCCGAUACUGCGGGGCUAGAGUGCAGAAGGGGCAACUGGAAUUCUCGGUGUAGCGGUGAAAUGCGUAGAUAUCGAGAGGAACACCUGCGGCGAAGGCGGGUUGCUGGGCUGACACUGACGCUGAGGAGCGAAAGCGUGGGGAGCGAACAGG
rnacentral:rRNA from 1 species